ACUCCUACGGGAGGCAGCAGUGGGGAAUAUUGCACAAUGGGGGAAACCCUGAUGCAGCCAUGCCGCGUGUGUGAAGAAGGCCUUCGGGUUGUAAAGCACUUUCAGUAGGGAGGGAGGUAGUGUAGUUAACACCUGCACUAUUUGACGUUACCUACAGAAGAAGCACCGGCUAACUCCGUGCCAGCAGCCGCGGUAAUACGGAGGGUGCGAGCGUUAAUCGGAAUUACUGGGCGUAAAGCGCAUGCAGGCGGCCUGUUAAGUCAGAUGUGAAAGCCCGGGGCUUAACCUCGGAAUUGCAUUUGAAACUGGCAGGCUAGAGUCUUGUAGAGGGGGGUAGAAUUUCAGGUGUAGCGGUGAAAAUGCGUAGAGAUCUGAAGGAAUACCAGUGGCGAAGGCGGCCCCCUGGACAAAGACUGACGCUCAGAUGCG
rnacentral:rRNA from 1 species